rnacentral:lncRNA from 1 species
CGUGGCCAUACCACCUGUAGGGGAUUUUCUUACGAAAUCUAAGCUGUGGGAAAUGGGAAAUUGCGUAAAAAUCUGGGUUGGGUGAUUUAAAAAAAAAGCAGGGGCUGGGCAUAGGCAGUAAUAUAAGGCAAGAUGGCUAAGGAAGAAGGUGGGCAGCGGAGCCGGUGAAGGAAGCCGCAGGCGCGGAUGGAGGCGAAGAGAUCAGGAGCAGUAAAGGAACACUCUCUUCCCCAGUCAGCUGGGAUACGGAUUUUGUAAGGCCUAGGGACUUUGUCUUUGGAGGUCCUGUCUCCAUAAGGCUUCCCAAAACAAAGAAUGUUCAGAUUGGACUGGCCUUAAAAUGCAGUAUUUAAAACAGCAACAUGUCUGACAGAUCCGAGAAAUGAAAUACGUCCAUUUCUUUUGGCAAGGAGCAGAAGGCAACAUAAAGCAGCUGCAAGAAUUAAUUCAUGGAGAUAGUUGACAUUUUCGAGCUGACUGCCUCUUAGAGAAAAUGAUGUCAUUCUCCAGCAGCCUAAUGACAGUCAUCAGCCUGAGAGGACACAUGCUAAUAAGACUAUCACCAGCAAAGAAUUUUCUGAGCAAAUGUGUACUGGAGACCUUCUGAGGAACCCACUAGAGCCUGCACAUCCCCUUUUCCUAGCAAGGUCAACUGGAAAACAGGUCUUACUGCCUAUUAGAGCAAAGGAAGAGGAAAUCUUUGGCUAACCGGUCAGAGAAAACAACUGGAUUAAACAAGAUACUCUUCAUGACUGUGGUUGCAAAAAUGCAACACAACUUUUAAAAAUCUUAGUACUAAUUUUUAAAAAUGGCUUUUAAUUUGGGGGAGACUCGAUAACAGAACCCGAAAAUCUGAUGAAUUGUAUGAACAUUUUGUUCAGAAAAAUAAACAUAUAUUACCAGAAAAUUUCAUAUGUGAUUCAAGAAGUCCACAGAAGUUCCAUGUUAGUAAAAUUGAGGAACAAUGGUGACACCCUAAUGAUAGGGCAACAUGGUUCUGCUUUAGUAAGUCUGAGAGCUGCAGCUGUGAAAAGGGUCCUGACUCCAUUCAGAUGCAGUCUCAUUCUAUUGCCAGGCUGGAGUGCAGUGGUGCGAUCUGCAACCUCCGCCUCCCGGGUUCAAGCGAUUCUCCCGCCUCAGCCUCCCAAGUAGCUGGGACGACAGGCACCCGCCAUCAUGCCCGGCUAAUUUUUGUAUUUUUAGUAGAGAUGGGGUUUCACCAUGUUGGCCGGGAUGGUCUUGAUCUCUUGACCUCGUGAUCCGCCCACCUCAGCCUCCUAAAGUGCUGAGAUUACAGACGUGAGCCACUGCGCCCAGCCGCAAGCAUCAACUUGUAAUGCUGUCCAUGUGAUUUCAAUGGGAGCCAAUUAGUAAGCUUUGAAUGGGUUACAGCUGUGUCCAGUUAAGCCUUGUUAACUCCUCGAGCACUUGGGCAAGACCAAAGCAGGUAAAGCCUGCAGUCUUCACCUCUUGCCACAAGUGGACUCCACCAAUGAGCUGCGGAAAGAACAUUUCCUACGUACCAUGCCAUGAAGAAAGUUGGGGAGCACUGAAGUGCCUGAUUUCAAUCUUAUAAUAAUACUGUAAGGUUCGGGUUGAGAAUUCAGUUCUAGUGAAGCUCUUCACUACACAGCGAUUGAGAAAUCAAGGCUGUUGGCUGCUUGGACAUCUUUAAUGUGCGGCUUCCAGGACAGCAGUUCCCUUCUCAUUUGGGAUCGUUUUUGCCUGUAUAGAGUCUCAAUCUGUUGCCCAGGCUGAGGUGCAGUGGUGCGAUCACAGCUCACUGUAGCCUUGAACUCCCAGGCUCAAGCGAUCCUCCCACCUAGGCCUUCUGAGUAAUUGAGACCAUAGAGGGUCUAAAGAGGAGCUACUUUGUCACUCAUCACUCGCUUGAAUAUUCAUCAGCAACAGAAGAGGAAGCUGAUCUGGGGGGUGCCGGUGGUUGUCUGUAAGUCACACAAGGAGUAGAUGGUUCACAGAUCAGCAGAUGCCACUGCCACCUUUAUCUUGUCUGUGUGUUCUUCAGUCGUUCCUACGAUAAGGCUUUUGUAAGGAGCAUAGUGCUCUUUCCCUUUCUAUGGAAGUAUACUUGUAUGUGGAUAAGUAUCCUUGUAUGCUAACUACUGUAAGAGAAACACAUAGUCAAUCCUACAAAUAAAAAAUAAUAUUUUGCUCAGCUCACAGUUGGGAAUGGGUUAGAUGGUCCUCUGAGGCAGCUGGCUGUCCUUUAAGUGUUUACUCAGGGAUCUCAGCAUUGCUGCCUUUGACUAUGUGGCUAUGUCAUCUUGGGCCAAGAGAUCACAGAACAUUAUCUGGGACAGCAGUUACAUAGUUCUGGUCAAAACUCUAAAGAAGGCAUGUGAGUGAUUAAAAUUUGUCAAAUUCAGUGUUAAGUGACAACCUGCAUCUGGACUCCUAGAUAGCCAGUGUUUGAUGGAAUCUCCCUAAUGUUGGCUCUCUAGACCAUUCGUUCUAGGGACCUGUCUGCGCAAUUGGACUUCCUGCCAUGUCUCAUGGUGCCUCCCUGAUGUCUCCUCACCUGCAACUCCAAAUCCCAGCCACUCUCCGUCUGCAUCCCUCAGCUACAUAGUUCCCUUUCUGGUCCUCUGCAUGAUGAGAUGGGGGAACUGAGGCCCUACGAAGUUAAAUGAUCUGCCAAGUUAUCCCUGAAAAACAUUAAGGCCCUCAAGUUUCCUAGGUUUAGGACUGAACAACUCCGGGAAUCUGAAAGAUGAUGCAAAUAAAGAGGAAGACGGACAUAAUCUCGAAGGGAGAGAAAGGAGCUGGGAAUGGGGGAUCAUAUUCUAAUAGCUCAUCAUCACCACAUGAAACAUACAAUGCAGAGGAACUCUUCAAGGGGUGAAGGGAAAGUAUAAAACAAGACAGAAGAUUUCCUUUCUUCCAUGAGGAUAUAAUUCUAGUGGGAGAACCAAUAAGCAAACCAGCAGAAGAAUCUUAGACUGGGAGACGUGCUAAGCUGAGAACUGGGGCAGCCGGUGCCUGGGGAGCUACACUGGAACUGUGAUUGUGAAACCAAUUCAAAGAGGUAGCAUUUACAGUGAGACCUGAAUGACAAGAAGGAGCCAGAUGUGCAGUGAUUCUCCAGGAAGGAGUUCCAGGUAUCGAGAACAGCUGGCAUAAAUGUUUGAAGGUGGGUAUAGCAGCACUAUUCACAAUAGCCAGAAGGUGGAAACAACCCUAACGUCCAUCAGCAGUUGAAUGGAUAAACAAAAUGUGGUAUAUCCAUGCUAUGGAAUAUUAUUCAGCCUUAAAAACAAAUGAAGGACUGAUACAUGAUAAUGUCAGGCCUCCGAGCCCAAGCCAAGCCAUCUCAUCCCCUGUGACUUGCACGUAUACAUCCAGAUGGCCUGAAGUAACUGAAGAUCCACAAAAGAAGUAAAAAUAGCCUGAACUGAUGACAUUCCACCAUUGUGAUUUGUUCCUGCCCCACCCUAACUGAUCAAUGUAGUUUGUAAUCUUCCCACCCUUAAGAAGGUUCUUUGUAAUUCUCCCCACCCUUGAGAAUGUACUUUGUGAGAUCCACCCCUGCCCACAAAACAUUGCUCUUAACUUCACCGCCCAUCCCAAAACCUGUAAGAACUAAUGAUAAUCCAUCUCCCUUCGCUGACUCUUUUCGGACUCAGCCCACCUGCACCCAGGUGAAAUAAACAGCCAUGCUGCUCACACAAAACCUGUUUGGUGGUCUCUUCACACGGACACACAUGAAACUAUGACUUGGAUGAACCUUGAAAACAUUAGGUUAAGUGAAAGAAGCCAGUCACAAAAGAAGCCAGUCACAUACAUAUUGUGUGAUUCCUUUUAUAUGAACUAUCUGGAAUAGAUUAGUCCAUAGAGACAGA